CACUCAGCUGAAGACAAAAGGCAACGUUUUAUCUUCCUCUUUCACUGAAAGACCUCGGUCAAGCCCAUUUCACUGAUCUCGCUCGAUUCGCUGGAGAGUCGAAGAGCAAUCGGAUGACAUAUCGCAUUAGGGUUCAUAUUGGAGCUUCGAUUUCAGAGAUCGAGAACUUGGCUGGAGAAACAAUCGAGCUCAGAACAUGGCAAAGUGUAUUUGAAAGAAACAAUUCUUCCGCCUCUGCUGAUGUUGAAGGAAAGUCUUCUGCAGAACGUACUAAGUUGGAGCCAUCACAACCUUCCUCUAGAUAAUCGAUUCCCAUGUGAUGCCCAUCUCCUCUCUUAUUGACAUACCCCGGGUACCUCAAGGGCAUAAACUCGUCUUCAUCGAGCAAGUACAACCCAACUUCCUUGGCCAGACCGACUAUGUCCCAUGCGCUGAAAGGAUAUGCCGUCUUGUGGGUAAUAUGAACUUGCCCAUUGUAACUCAGCAUCGAACUUGCACUCUUGAGGAACCCUUUAACGAGUUUCUGGUGAAUCCUGAAUUAUUAUUACAUAGCAGGUAAACACAUCAAUUGAUAAUAUCAACGAGUAUUAGGUAAAAUUCUUUUUAGUUAUAUACAAUGUAGUUCAAGAGAGAUUCUAGUGUGUGUGUAUAUAUAUAUAUAUACUUACUUAAUCUGUUGAAGGUCAUGCUCUUUGUAGAAGAAACCUGCGCGGGGGAAGUUAAAUACGAUACAGUCGAAAGACUUAAGUAUGAGGCUCGGGUGUUUGCUCAUUGUGUGGGCGUUCACUCCAUGCAGAACCGUACAUCCCCGAUCCUCAAGCUCUUUUAAGUUUAUGCUGGCUCUCGAAUACUUCCGCUCCAAGCUCACUUCAAUCCGUAAGAGGUGGCAUUAUGUAAAUCAUAUUAUUAUGUGUAUGUAUGUUGGGCCAAAACAGAUAAAUAGUAAAAUGAGCAUUGUGUCAACCUAUCAA